GAGUUUGAUCUUGGCUCAGAUUGAACGCUGGCGGCAUGCCUUACACAUGCAAGUCGAACGGUAACAGGUCUUCGGAUGCUGACGAGUGGCGAACGGGUGAGUAAUACAUCGGAACGUGCCCGAUCGUGGGGGAUAACGAGCGAAAGCUUUGCUAAUACCGCAUAAGAUCUACGGAUGAAAGCAGGGGACCGCAAGGCCUUGCGCGAACGGAGCGGCCGAUGGCAGAUUAGGUAGUUGGUGGGAUAAAAGACUUACCAAGCCGACGAUCUGUAGCUGGUCUGAGAGGACGACCAGCCACACUGGGACUGAGACACGGCCCAGACUCCUACGGGAGGCAGCAGUGGGGAAUUUUGGACAAUGGGCGAAAGCCUGAUCCAGCCAUGCCGCGUGCAGGAUGAAGGCCUUCGGUUGUAAC
rnacentral:rRNA from 1 species